rnacentral:ncRNA from 10 species
CACGUUCAUCCUAUUAUAGGACGGAAGUAGCAAUAGCGAAGGAACGCACU